UACGAAGGGGGCUAGCGUUGCUCGGAAUCACUGGGCGUAAAGCGCACGUAGGCGGACUCUUAAGUCGGGGGUGAAAUCCUGGAGCUCAACUCCAGAACCGCCUUCGAUACUGGGAGUCUUGAGUUCGGGAGAGGUGAGUGGAACUGCGAGUGUAGAGGUGAAAUUCGUAGAUAUUCGCAAGAACACCAGUGGCGAAGGCGGCUCACUGGCCCGAUACUGACGCUGAGGUGCGAAAGCGUGGGGAGCAAACAGG
rnacentral:rRNA from 1 species